rnacentral:rRNA from 1 species
UACGUAGGGGGCAAGCGUUAUCCGGAUUUACUGGGUGUAAAGGGAGCGUAGACGGCUGUGCAAGUCUGGAGUGAAAACCUGGGGCUCAACCCCAGGACUGCUUUGGAAACUGUGCAGCUUGAGUAUCGGAGGGGUAAGUGGAAUUCCUAGUGUAGCGGUGAAAUGCGUAGAUAUUAGGAGGAACACCAGUGGCGAAGGCGACUUACUGGACGAUAACUGACGUUGAGGCUCGAAAGCGUGGGUAGCAAACAGGAUUAGAUACC